GGGUGCUGCUCUGCGCCAUCACCAUCUAUAAAAAAUCAGAGCACGUGGCCGAGGUGGUGCAGCAUUACCCCCACCACGAGAGAUGUGGGGGGCCGGGAG